rnacentral:rRNA from 1 species
GUGAACGCUGGCGGUAGGCCUAACACAUGCAAGUCGAACGGCAGCACAGUAAGAGCUUGCUCUUACGGGUGGCGGGUGGCGGACGGGUGAGGAAUACAUCGGAAUCUACUUUUUCGUGGGGGAUAACGUAGGGAAACUUACGCUAAUACCGCAUACGACCUACGGGUGAAAGCAGGGGAUCUUCGGACCUUGCGCGAUUGAAUGAGCCGAUGUCGGAUUAGCUAGUUGGCGGGGUAAAGGCCCACCAAGGCGACGAUCCGUAGCUGGUCUGAGAGGAUGAUCAGCCACACUGGAACUGAGACACGGUCCAGACUCCUACGGGAGGCAGCAGUGGGGAAUAUUGGACAAUGGGCGCAAGCCUGAUCCAGCCAUACCGCGUGGGUGAAGAAGGCCUUCGGGUUGUAAAGCCCUUUUGUUGGGAAAGAAAAGCAGCAGGUUAAUACCCCGCUGUUCUGACGGUACCCAAAGAAUAAGCACCGGCUAACUUCGUG